rnacentral:tRNA from 1 species
GGACAGGUGACCGAGUGGUUGAAGGUACCAGUCUCGAAAACUGGCAUAGGGGCAACUCUAUCGAGGGUUCGAAUCCCUCUCUGUCCGCCA